ensembl:lncRNA
GCGCCGGCUUCCGGGAAGGAGAGCGGAGCAUUUGCCUGUUAGGGUUGAUUGACCGCGUCCCAAAUUUACGAGUCCGAAGCAGAGUGGAGUUGUUUUUCACGUUUGUUUAACAUUUUAGAGAUUACAGUGCGCUUUUACAAACGCUAGAUCCUUACAAAAACCCUAUGAGAAAAAAGUUAAUAGCCAGAGGAACUGGCAUCAAGUACUGACUACCAACAACACUCGUUCUCCAUUUCACAGCUCCAGUUCCCUUUCCUCUGGAUAGGAAGGUAAGAUACCCCCUCGGUGAAGGUCUGCCCAACUUGAAAUAUCUGAACUUAGUCCACUUGCUCAGGUAAUGUGGAGGAUCAGAGUAUUUGAAACAGUCCUCUGGUUUCCAUUUUAGCUCCAUAAACUUAGAUUUUCCUUUGAGGUAGCCAAGCCAACGGCAAAUAGAUAGAAAAGGAUCUUUCUGUCACUGUCUCCAACUUUCUACCUAAGAAUUCCCGGAAUCUUCAGAAUAAAAAGGCCAUUCGUUAUGACACCAUUUUCAGAAGGGCAGACAAACUCCCUGGAUUCAGAGCCUGUCUCUAUCAUUUAUUAGCUGUAUAAUCUUUUAGGCCAGUUAACCUAACACUACCAUGCCUUCUUUUUUGGCAUCUGUAAAAUGGGGUUGUUAUGAAGGUAACAUGUAAACUACUAAAUAGUAACCAGAAUGUUGCUUAAUAAAAUGUUAGUAUUGGCAUUACUACUUUUCCCAACUUUUCAUGUCUUCACGCUCACCUUGUACCAUGGAAAACAAUAAAUAAAUAUGUUGGUCUCUGCCUCCUGUUUCUGACACUGGGCUCCUGAAAAUCUUGUCAAUUCCCAAGUGAUAGGUGCAUUGGAAGCAUCUUUUGUUUUGUGAGGGGACUCUGGAUGGGUUCUUAGAUGUGGUCUGGUCUCCAGGUAGAUAAAGCCUGAUUAGAAGCUUGGAAUUUUCAGCCCCUCCUCCCAUUCUAUAGAGAGGGGAGAAAGGCCGGAAAUGGGGUCAAUUGAUCACACCUACAUGAGGAAGACUUAAUAAAAUCCCAGUAGUAUGGAGUUUGGAGAGCUUCCAGGCUGGUGAACCCAUCCACAUACCAGGAAGAUUACACACCCCAACUCCACUAGGCAGAUGCUCCUACACUCCCAGACUUUCCCUGUGUAUCUGUUCAUCUGGUUGUUCAGGUUCUUCAUCUUUAUCCUUUACCAUAUCCUUUAAUAAACGGAGUUCUGUGACCCUUAACCUGUGGGAUCAGAUGCUGUCUCCAGGUGUUGUCUCCAGUUUGACAGAGUCAGAAUUGAGCUAAAUCGUAGGAGACCCAGCUAGUGUCACAGAAUUGCUUGGUGAGGGAAAAACCCACAUCUGGUUUUAGAAGCGUUGUGAGUGUGGCAGUAGUGUGAAAAUAAAGGAGAAACAGAAAUGAGACCAGGUUUUUCCCUUUACAUACUGUAACCAUACUGUUGAUUCUCUGAGCAAUUAGUACUUCUCAGUCUUUCUGUGCAUAAGUAACUUGUUUUAUCUGCCUAUAAUUUGCAGUUUCUUACAUAUUCUCCCAAUUGACUCAAAUAUUUUUUUCAAGAAUCUUGGAGUUCCUGUUGUGGCGCAGUGGCUAAUGAAUCCGAUUAGGAACCAUGAGGUUUCGGGUUCGAUCCCGGGCCUUGCUCCUAGACUGCAGACGUGGCUUGGAUCCCGCAUUGCUGUGGCUCUGACGUAGGCCGGCGGCAAUAGCUCCAAUUCAACCACUAGCCGGGGAACCUCCAUAUGCCAUGGGAGCGGCCCUAGAAAAGGCAAAAAG